UACGGGGGGGGCAAGCGUUGUUCGGAAUUACUGGGCGUAAAGGGCUCGUAGGCGGCCAACUAAGUCGGAUGUGAAAGCCCACGGCUCAACCGUGGAAGUGCAUCCGAAACUGCAUGGCUCGAGUCUCGGAGAGGAAGGUGGAAUGCUUGGUGUAGAGGUGAAAUUCGUAGAUAUCUGGAGGAACACCGGUGGCGAAGGCGGCAUCCUGGACCGGCAUUGACACUGAGGAGCGAAAGCCAGGGGAGCAAACGGG
rnacentral:rRNA from 1 species